GGUGGAAGCGUGGCGACACGUGCAGCUGACGAAUACUAAUCGAUCGAGGACUUAACCAAU
rnacentral:rRNA from 1 species